rnacentral:rRNA from 1 species
UGGGGAAUAUUGGAUAAUGGGCGAAAGCCUGAUCCAGCCAUGCCGCGUGUGUGAAGAAGGUCUUCGGUUUGUAAAGCACUUUAAGUUGGGAGGAAGGGCAGUAAGCGAAUACCUUGCUGUUUUGACGUUACCGACAGAAUAAGCACCGGCUAACUCUGUGCCAGCAGCCGCGGUAAUACAGAGGGUGCAAGCGUUAAUCGGAAUUACUGGGCGUAAAGCGCGCGUAGGUGGUUCGUUAAGUUGAAUGUGAAAGCCCCGGGCUCAACCUGGGAACUGCAUCCAAAACUGGCGCGCUGGAGUAGGGCAGAGGGUGGUGGAAUUUCCGGUGUAGCGGUGAAAUGCGUAGAUAUAGGAAGGAACACCAGUGGCGAAGGCGACCACCUGGGAACAUACUGACACUGAGGUGCGAAAGCGUGGGGAGCAAACAGG